GAUGAAGAACGCAGCGAAAUGCGAUAAGUAAUGUGAAUUGCAGAAUUCAGUGAAUCAUCGAAUCUUUGAACGCACCUUGCGCCCUUUGGCUAUUCCGAAGGGCAUGCCUGUUUGAGUAUCAUGAACACCUCAACUCUUCACGGCUUGCCGUGAUGAGUUUGGACUUUGGGGGUCUUGCUGGCCUACGAGCCAGCUCCUCUCAAAUGUAUUAGCUUACCGGUGUUUGGUGGCAUCACAGGUGUGAUAACUAUCUACGCUUGUGGUUUUCCACUAGGUAACCUUCAGCAAUGGAGGUUCACCGGAGCUCACAAAUGUCUCUCCUUGCCAAGGACAGAUUUUGACCAUUUGAUCUCAAAUCAGGUAGGACUACCCGCUGAACUUAAGCAUAUCAAUAAGCGGAGGA
rnacentral:misc_RNA from 1 species